GGCCCCUCUCGGGUUACCGAAUUCAGACAAACUCCGAAUGCCAAUUAAUUUAACUUGGGAGUCAGAACAUGGGUGAUAAGGUCCGUGUUCGAAAGGGAAACAGCCCAGACCACCAGCUAAGGUCCCAAAAUAUAUGUUAAGUGGAAAAGGAUGUGGCGUUGCCCAGACAACUAGGAUGUUGGCUUAGAAGCAGCCAUCAUUUAAAGAGUGCGUAAUAGCUCACUAGUCGAGUGACACUGCGCCGAAAAUGUACCGGGGCUAAACAUAUUACCGAAGCUGUGGAUUGUCCUUUGGACAAUGGUAGGAGAGCGUUCUAAGGGCGUUGAAGCAUGAUCGUAAGGACAUGUGGAGCGCUUAGAAGUGAGAAUGCCGGUGUGAGUAGCGAAAGACGGGUGAGAAUCCCGUCCACCGAUUGACUAAGGUUUCCAGAGGAAGGCUCGUCCGCUCUGGGUUAGUCGGGUCCUAAGCUGAGGCCGACAGGCGUAGGCGAUGGAUAACAGGUUGAUAUUCCUGUACCACCUAUAAUCGUUUUAAUCGAUGGGGGGACGCAGUAGGAUAGGCGAAGCGUGCGAUUGGAUUGCACGUCUAAGCAGUAAGGCUGAGUAUUAGGCAAAUCCGGUACUCGUUAAGGCUGAGCUGUGAUGGGGAGAAGACAUUGUGUCUUCGAGUCGUUGAUUUCACACUGCCGAGAAAAGCCUCUAGAUAGAAAAUAGGUGCCCGUACCGCAAACCGACACAGGUAGUCAAGAUGAGAAUUCUAAGGUGAGCGAGCGAACUCUCGUUAAGGAACUCGGCAAAAUGACCCCGUAACUUCGGGAGAAGGGGUGCUCUUUAGGGUUAACGCCCAGAAGAGCCGCAGUGAAUAGGCCCAAGCGACUGUUUAUCAAAAACACAGGUCUCUGCUAAACCGUAAGGUGAUGUAUAGGGGCUGACGCCUGCCCGGUGCUGGAAGGUUAAGAGGAGUGGUUAGCUUCUGCGAAGCUACGAAUCGAAGCCCCAGUAAACGGCGGCCGUAACUAUAACGGUCCUAAGGUAGCGAAAUUCCUUGUCGGGUAAGUUCCGACCCGCACGAAAGGCGUAACGAUUUGGGCACUGUCUCAACGAGAGACUCGGUGAAAUCAUAGUACCUGUGAAGAUGCAGGUUACCCGCGACAGGACGGAAAGACCCCGUGGAGCUUUACUGUAGCCUGAUAUUGAAAUUCGGCACAGCUUGUACAGGAUAGGUAGGAGCCUUUGAAACGUGAGCGCUAGCUUACGUGGAGGCGCUGGUGGGAUACUACCCUAGCUGUGUUGGCUUUCUAACCCGCACCACUUAUCGUGGUGGGAGACAGUGUCAGGCGGGCAGUUUGACUGGGGCGGUCGCCUCCUAAAAGGUAACGGAGGCGCUCAAAGGUUCCCUCAGAAUGGUUGGAAAUCAUUCAUAGAGUGUAAAGGCAUAAGGGAGCUUGACUGCGAGACCUACAAGUCGAGCAGGGUCGAAAGACGGACUUAGUGAUCCGGUGGUUCCGCAUGGAAGGGCCAUCGCUCAACGGAUAAAAGCUACCCCGGGGAUAACAGGCUUAUCUCCCCCAAGAGUUCACAUCGACGGGGAGGUUUGGCACCUCGAUGUCGGCUC
rnacentral:rRNA from 1 species